rnacentral:rRNA from 1 species
CCUACGGGGGACUGCAGUGGGGGAUAUUGCACAAUGAGGGGAACCCUGAUGCAGCGACGCCGCGUGGGUGAAGAAGCGCCUCGGCGCGUAAAGCCCUGUCAGCAGGGAAGAAAAUGACGGUACCUGAAGGAGAAGCCCCGGCUUACUACGUGCCAGCAGCCGCGGUUAGAUGUCGGGGGCAAGCGUUAUCCGGAUUUACUGGGGGUAAAGGGCGCGCAGACGGCGGUGCAAGCCAGGAGUGAAAGCCCGGGGCCCAACCCCGGGACUGCUCUUGGAACUGCGUGGCUGGAGUGCAGGAGGGGCAGGCGGAAUUCCUGGUGUAGCGGUGAAAUGCGUAGAUAUCAGGAGGAACACCGGUGGCGAAGGCGGCCUGCUGGACUGCAACUGACGUUGAGGCCCGAAAGCGUGGGGAGCAAACAGGAUUAGAUACCCCUGUAGUC